GACGAACCGUGCGACCGUUAUUCGGAAUCACUGGGCUUAAAGGGCGCGUAGGCGGGUCAUCAAGUCCGGGGUGAAAGCCCACGGCCCAACCGUGGAAGUGCCUUGGAUACUGAAGACCUCGAGGGGGAUAGGGGCGUGCGGAACUCAGGGUGGAGCGGUGAAAUGCGUAGAUAUCCUGAGGAACACCGGUGGCGAAAGCGGCGCGCUGGAUCCCUUCUGACGCUGAGGCGCGAAAGCCAGGGGAGCAAACGGG
rnacentral:rRNA from 1 species